GUGAACGCUGGCGGUAGGCCUAACCCAUGCAAGUCGCACGGCAGCACAGUAAGAGCUUGCUCUUACGGGUGGCGAGUGGCGGACGGGUGAGGAAUACAUCGGAAUCUACUUUUUCGUGGGGGAUAACGUAGGGAAACUUACGCUAAUACCGCAUACGACCUACGGGUGAAAGCAGGGGAUCUUCGGACCUUGCGCGAUUGAAUGAGCCGAUGUCGGAUUAGCUAGUUGGCGGGGUAAAGGCCCACCAAGGCGACGAUCCGUAGCUGGUCUGAGAGGAUGAUCAGCCACACUGGAACUGAGACACGGUCCAGACUCCUACGGGAGGCAGCAGUGGGGAAUAUUGGACAAUGGGCGCAAGCCUGAUCCAGCCAUACUGCGUGGGUGAAGAAGGCCUUCGGGUUGUAAAGCCCUUUUGUUGGGAAAGAAAAGCAGCAGGUUAAUACCCCGCUGUUCUGACGGUACCCAAAGAAUAAGCACCGGCUAACUUCGUG
rnacentral:rRNA from 1 species